rnacentral:rRNA from 1 species
GUGGGGAAUAUUGGACAAUGGGCGCAAGCCUGAUCCAGCCAUGCCGCGUGAGUGAUGAAGGCCUUAGGGUUGUAAAGCUCUUUCAGUGGGGACGAUAAUGACGGUACCCACAGAAGAAGCCCCGGCUAACUUCGUGCCAGCAGCCGCGGUAAUACGAAGGGGGCUAGCGUUGUUCGGAUUUACUGGGCGUAAAGCGCACGUAGGCGGAUCGUUAAGUCGGGGGUGAAAUCCUGGAGCUCAACUCCAGAACUGCCUUCGAUACUGGCGAUCUUGAGUCCGGAAGAGGUGAGUGGAACUCCUAGUGUAGAGGUGGAAUUCGUAGAUAUUAGGAAGAACACCAGUGGCGAAGGCGGCUCACUGGUCCGGUACUGACGCUGAGGUGCGAAAGCGUGGGGAGCAAACAGGAUUAGAAACCCGUGUAGUCC